GGGGCGUUGGUCCAGCGGUUAAGACAGCGGGCCUUCAAUCCGCUAACAGGAGUUCAACUCUCCUACGCCCCGCGA
rnacentral:tRNA from 7 species